UCUACGGGAGGCAGCAGUGGGGAAUAUUGGACAAUGGGCGAAAGCCUGAUCCAGCCAUGCCGCGUGUGUGAAGAAGGCCUUCGGGUUGUAAAGCACUUUCAGUGGGGAAGAAAGCCUUGGGGCUAAUACCCUCGAGGAAGGACAUCACCCACAGAAGAAGCACCGGCUAACUCCGUGCCAGCAGCCGCGGUAAUACGGAGGGUGCGAGCGUUAAUCGGAAUUACUGGGCGUAAAGCGCGCGUAGGCGGUCUGAUAAGCCGGUUGUGAAAGCCCCGGGCUCAACCUGGGAACGGCAUCCGGAACUGUCAGGCUAGAGUGCAGGAGAGGAAGGUAGAAUUCCCGGUGUAGCGGUGAAAUGCGUAGAGAUCGGGAGGAAUACCAGUGGCGAAGGCGGCCUUCUGGACUGACACUGACGCUGAGGUGCGAAAGCGUGGGUAGCAAACAGGAUUAGAUACCCCGGUAGUC
rnacentral:rRNA from 1 species